rnacentral:rRNA from 1 species
GCUUACGGCCAUACCAACCUGGCUAUGCCCGAUCUUGUCUGAUCUCGGAAGCUAAGCAGGUUUGGGGCCUGGUUGAGUACUUGGAUGGGAGACCGCCUGGGAAACCAGGUGCUGUAGCUU